GCAGUCUCCUUGGCUACC
rnacentral:miRNA from 1 species